rnacentral:sRNA from 2 species
UUUUUUAUAUUGUGUAACUGCCAUAAUGUUUUUAUUUUAUAUUUUAUUUAUAUAUAAUAUAUAUAAGUGAUAAAAAUAAUACACAUUAACUUUUCACAAAAAAUUUUUAUAUGUUAAAAUAUUACAAAUGGAUAUAAUAACAAAAUUGUUGUUACAUAUUUUAUUCAUCUAGAAAAUAUUUAAAUAAGAUAUUUGUUAACACGAAAAAAAAAAAUAAAAUAAUAAUAAAUAAAUAAAUAAAUAAGAUACAUAUACAUAUAUAUAUAUAUAUUUAACAUUUUGGAGGGGUAAAAUAUGUCAGUUUUAUGUCACACCUUGUUUAGUUUUUUUAAGGACCUUAGGAGUUUAUACAAACCAUAUACAGCAUUUUCUUUCUUUUUCUUCCCAUGUGCUAUAAAUAUGUAUGGAAUUAUAAAAUUUAAUAAUUCAGAUUACCAUAUAAAUAAAAGCGUAACAGAUGCCAAUGCAUAUAUGAAAAGGACUGCCCAAGAAAAAUAAUACAAUGAAAUAAGAUAGAAAUUAAACAAUAUCUUUUAAAUGGAAAUGAGGAAGGAAGAAAGAAAGAAAGAAAAAAGGAAAAAAAGAAAAAAAGAAAAAAGAAAAAAAGAAAAAAAGAAAAAAGAAAAAAAGAAAAAAAGAAAAAAGAAAAAAAGAAAAUCGUAUAAUAUUUCCUAAAGAAAUAAAAUAUUAUACUAUAUAUAUGUAUACAGUUGAAUGGUUUAAUAAUAUAGAACAAAUUGAAUAUUUUUUUUUUAAGAAUGUGAAAAAAAGUAUAAAUGAUAAACGUAUAUACGUUUUAAUUUAAAAAACAAAAAAAUAAUAAUGAAUAGGAAUAACUGCAAUGUUGUAUAACAUAUUGUAAAUGUUUUAUUUUUAAACAUCAAAAUGUUUUUUUCAUUAAUUUUUUUUGAUAUUUCUUUUUUUUUUUUUUUCUCCAUUUGAUAUAUAUAUUUUUUUUUGUUUUAGAAAAACUUUUUCAAACAUAACUAUAAAAAAAAAUACUUAUGUAAAUAUUUAUGUUUAAUAUGAGAAA